rnacentral:rRNA from 1 species
GAUGAACGCUGGCGGCGUGCCUAAUACAUGCAAGUCGAGCGAACAGACGAGGAGCUUGCUCCUCUGACGUUAGCGGCGGACGGGUGAGUAACACGUGGAUAACCUACCUAUAAGACUGGGAUAACUUCGGGAAACCGGAGCUAAUACCGGAUAAUAUAUUGAACCGCAUGGUUCAAUAGUGAAAGACGGUUUUGCUGUCACUUAUAGAUGGAUCCGCGCCGCAUUAGCUAGUUGGUAAGGUAACGGCUUACCAAGGCAACGAUGCGUAGCCGACCUGAGAGGUGGAUCGGCCACACGGGAACGGAGAAACGGUCCAGAUCCUUAGGGGGGCAGCAGUAGGGAAUCUUCCGCAAUGGGCGAAAGCUUGACGGAGCAACGCCGCGUGAGUGAUGAAGGUCUUCGGAUCGUAAAACUCUGUUAUUAGGGAAGAACAAAUGUGUAAGUAACUAUGCACGUCUUGACGGUACCUAAUCAGAAAGCCACGGCUAACUACGUG